AAGUCGUAACAAGGUAACCGUAGGUGAACCUGCGGUUGGAUCAUUAAUAAAUUUGGAAAUUUUUAAAUUUCCGAACCUUGUGUGCACUAGUAUCUGUCUCUGGCAGGGUUUAACUGGGGUUUCGAAAACCUGGGUGUAACAACCUGGGUUUUUUUUGGAAUCCUUGCCUGCCGAAGGGGUCCGGUUUCGAUCGGGCGCCUUUGUAAAAACCAAUUGUCUCUUUGAUUUAUAGUCUGAUUCUAUUCACUUUUGUGAAAUGGAAAAAACAACUUUUGACAACGGAUCUCUUGGCUCUC
rnacentral:misc_RNA from 1 species